UGCAUUGGCAGCACAUGCUUCAGUUGUCUGGGAGUUUUUAAUAGUUCAGUGAGUUUGAAGACUGAAGACUGAGAACUUCUUCAUCCAGAAUCUAAAUCCACAGCAAUCAUGUCUGUCAUCACCAUCUUCAUCUGGAUGUUAACUAGCUACUGUUUUAGAGAAUCAAGAGGUUCAGUGACAGUCACUCAAACACCUGCAGUGAAAUCUGUUCAUCUUGGAGACACAUUUACUAUCACCUGUAAAACCAGCCCUGAAGUCUAUCAGGGUUGGGGUAAUCAGCCUCUUGCCUGGUAUCAGCAGAAACCUGGAGAAGCUCCUAAACUCCUCAUAAAUGCUGCAACAACCCUCAACACUGGAACUCCAUCUAGAUUCAGUGGCAGUGGAUCUAAUAGUGAUUUCACUCUGACCAUCAGUGGAGUCCAGACUGAAGAUGCAGGACAUUAUUACUGUCAGAGUUAUCACUGGAUCAACAGUAAAGAUGUGUGGACUUUCAGCAGCGGCACCAGACUGGAUGUUGGCAGCAUCACUCGUCCUAAAGUGAGCGUCCUGCCGCCCUCCAGUGAAGAGAUUUCCACAAAGAACACAGCAACACUGAUGUGUGUGGCCAACAAGGGCUUCCCCUCAGACUGGAGCCUGAGCUGGAAGGUGGACGGGAGCAGCAGGUCUGAGAAGAGCAGUGCUGGGGUCCUGGAGAAGGACGGUCUGUACAGCUGGAGCAGCAGUCUGACUCUCUCUCAGGAGGAGUGGAUGAAGGCGGUCACAGUGAGCUGUGAGGCCAAACAGAAAGACCAGCUGUCAGUCACUGGAGAAGUGAGGAGAGAUCAGUGUUCUGAGUAGAUCCUCUGGAUUCUCUUCUGCUCUUCUCACUCAUGUCUCACAUGGAGACUAACAGUGGCCUUCUAUUCACACAAGUAUAUGUGUGCUUUUGUCUUUCAGUGCUCAUUCUCUCUUGUCAUAAUUCAAUAAACAAAUAAAAGAUUCAAUUAUUUUAA